GUGUAAGAGGGCUCUGGUGCUGGAGCUGGUCCCACCAAGGCUGCCUGCCACCUUUCCUUCUCUGAUUCCUGUCUCUGAAAUACUCUUCAGCUGGAGGUGCUGUAAAAAGGUUGCGAAAACAAGUCCUCCUAUAAAGUCGCCAACCCAAGAAGGCUGAGAAAUGUUAUGAUAAAUGGCUUUAGCAGAGGCUUCGGAGAGAAAAAGAAAAAAAAAUCUAAUUACUGAAACAUGCAGGCCCAAACCAGAAGUGAUAAAUGAAGAAAUCAGCUUGAUGCAUCUCGCAAAAGAUGAGCUCACAUACCUUGGCUUUAGGAGCUGGUAUUGCUGCAUAUCUACUCUCAAUUAAAUUGACUUCUUCUCUGAUUAAACCUGUUCAA